AUUGAACGCUGGCGGCAGGCCUAACACAUGCAAGUCGAACGAGUGGCGGACGGGUGAGUAAUGUCUGGGAAACUGCCCGAUGGAGGGGGAUAACUACUGGAAACGGUAGCUAAUACCGCAUACCAUCGGAGCCGCCGAGAUGGGAUUAGCUAGUAGGUGGGGUAAAGGCUCACCUAGGCGACGAUCCCUAGCUGGUCUGAGAGGAAGACCAGCCACACUGGGACUGAGACACGGUCCAGACUCCUACGGGAGGCAGCAGUGGGGAAUAUUGCACAAUGGGCGCAAGCCUGAUGCAGCCAUGCCGCGUGUAUGAAGAAGGCCUUCGGGUUGUAAAGUACUUUCAGCGGGGAGGCGUUACCCGCAGAAGAAGCACCGGCUAACUCCGUGCCAGCAGCCGCGGUAAUUC
rnacentral:rRNA from 1 species